AUUGAACGCUGGCGGAAUGCUUUACACAUGCAAGUCGAACGGCAGCACGGACUUCGGUCUGGUGGCGAGUGGCGUACGGGUGAGUAAUGUAUCGGAACGUGCCCAGUCGUGGGGGAUAACGUAGUGAAAAUUACGCUAAUACCGCAUACGAUCUAUGGAUGAAAGCGGGGGAUCGCAAGACCUCGCGCGAUUGGAGCGGCAGAUAUCAGAUUAGGUAGUUGGUGGGGUAAAGGCCCACCAAGCCAACGAUCUGUAGCUGGUCUGAGAGGACGACCAGCCACACUGGAACUGAGACACGGUCCAGACUCCUACGGGAGGCAGCAGUGGGGAAUUUUGGGCAAUGGGCGAAAGCCUGAUCCAGCCAUUCCGCGUGCAGGAUGAAGGCCCUCGGGUUGUAAACUGCUUUUGUACAGAACGAAAAGGUUUCUACUAAUACUAGGAGCUCAUGACGGUACUGUAAGAAUAAGCACCGGCUAACUACGUGCCAGCCGCCGCCGUAA
rnacentral:rRNA from 1 species